rnacentral:rRNA from 1 species
UACAGAGGUGGCAAGCGUUGUUCGGAAUUACUGGGCGUAAAGGGCGCGUAGGCGGCCUUCUUAGUCAGACGUGAAAUCCCUAGGCUUAACCUAGGAACUGCGUCUGAUACUGGAAGGCUCGAGUUCGGGAGAGGAAUGUGGAAUUCCAGGUGUAGCGGUGAAAUGCGUAGAUAUCUGGAGGAACACCGGUGGCGAAGGCGGCAUUCUGGACCGAAACUGACGCUGAGGCGCGAAAGCUAGGGGAGCGAACGGG